UACAGAGGGGGCAAGCGUUAUUCGGAAUUAUUGGGCGUAAAGGGCGCGUAGGCGGCUUGGCAAGUGGAUGGUGAAAUCCCUCGGCUUAACCGAGGAACUGCCAUCCAGACUGCUUCGCUUGAGACCGGGAGAGGUGAGUGGAAUUCCCAGUGUAGCGGUGAAAUGCGUAGAUAUUGGGAGGAACACCAGUGGCGAAGGCGGCUCACUGGACCGGAACUGACGCUGAGGCGCGAAAGCGUGGGGAGCAAACAGG
rnacentral:rRNA from 1 species